rnacentral:rRNA from 1 species
AGAGUUUGAUCCUGGCUCAGGACGAACGCUGGCGGCACGCUUAACACAUGCAAGUCGAACGAGAGAAGAGAAGCUUGCUUUUCUGAUCUAGUGGCGGACGGGUGAGUAACACGUGAGCAAUCUGCCUUUCAGAGGGGGAUACCGAUUGGAAACGAUCGUUAAUACCGCAUAAUAUAAUUGAACCGCAUGAUUUGAUUAUCAAAGAUUUAUCGCUGAAAGAUGAGCUCGCGUCUGAUUAGCUAGUUGGUAAGGUAACGGCUUACCAAGGCGACGAUCAGUAGCCGGACUGAGAGGUUGAUCGGCCAACGAUCAGUAGCCGGACUGAGAGGUUGAUCGGCCACAUUGGGACUGAGACACGGCCCAGACUCCUACGGGAGGCAGCAGUGGGGAAUAUUGCACAAUGGAGGAAACUCUGAUGCAGCGAUGCCGCGUGAGGGAAGAAGGUUUUAGGAUUGUAAACCUCUGUCUUCAGGGACGAAAAAGGACGGUACCUGAGGAGGAAGCUCCGGCUAACUACGUGCCAGCAGCCGCGGUAAUACGUAGGGAGCGAGCGUUGUCCGGAAUUACUGGGUGUAAAGGGAGCGUAGGCGGGAUCGCAAGUCAGAUGUGAAAACUAUGGGCUUAACCUAUAAACUGCAUUUGAAACUGUGGUUCUUGAGUGAAGUAGAGGUAAGCGGAAUUCCUAGUGUAGCGGUGAAAUGCGUAGAUAUUAGGAGGAACAUCAGUGGCGAAGGCGGCUUACUGGGCUUUAACUGACGCUGAGGCUCGAAAGCGUGGGGAGCAAACAGGAUUAGAUACCCUGGUAGUCCACGCCGUAAACGAUGAUUACUAGGUGUGGGGGGACUGACC